UUAUCUCCAAAAUGUUCAAUACAUGAAUUAUAGUUUUGGUUUAUGGUAGAUUUUUUUUUUUUUUUUUAUAUUUUUCUAUACAAUAUGCUUCCCAUUUUUUUCAUGUUUAUUUUUUUUGGUCUCCAGUACAAUUGUAACUUUACUUUACUGGAAAUACAUGUAUUGUUAUUUUAAAAAUAGUCAUUUGUUACAGUAUAUUGCUUUAAUUUUGAAUAUGUUAAUCAAACAGUUUUUCAACAGAGUAAUUGAUGAACAAUAUUGUAUUGUACACUUACAGAAAUAUGCAUGUGUAGUGCUACUGAUUCUAGACACCAAUGAUUUAAUUAUGUGCGACAGUGUAUACUUUUCAAUGAUCUGAAUGAAUCAUGAAGUUUUGUAAGAAUGCAUGCUGAUUUAGCAUCUGCUUUGUUUGGUUUAAAGGUUGGUGUGUGCAUUCGAGCGCAUCUACAUGCACAUGUAGAAAUGUUUACCAGAUGCCAAAUGUCACAACUUUUGCAAGUCGUUUUUUUUUUAAAGAUAAGCAUGAUAGAAUAUGAGUACAGUUUGUAUUCAGUUUUUAUUGAACAGAUUCUACAGUUGAUAAUUCAUGGAGUCAUUCAAACUUGAGAUUAUUUUUAAAUACUAGAAAGUAUAUUAACCACGUUUUGAAAGCAAUUAUCAUUUAAUGGUGAAUUAAAAAAAAUUAAAAUUGAGUCAUAAUCCUCAGAAAAGGUAAACUGGCAGACAUUAGUACAACAGAUAAGAUACAGACAGAAAACUGAACCAGUUUUAUUUUCCGUGCGCAUUUCCGAGUUAUGUCCCUUUGUUUUGUGUAGUUUUCUGUUAUUUAUAUGAACAAAUGAUACAAGACUCUUUAAAGCAUAAUUUAGGAGUGAAACACCAGUUUAAUGACAUUUUUUACCAGCAGAACUAUUGUAACACAGGUUGUAUGUUGCAUCUCGACUUUAUUUUUAACCAGCAUUUUUUUCUCUUGCUCUUGCCAGUGUAUAUGCUAUAACUGAGUGAAUAGAUUUAUGAAAUUUGAUUGGAAAGGUUGAUUUACAAAUUCUGUUAUUUUGGUUUUGAAAAUGUUAUUUGAUUCAAUAUUCUGCAAUAAAAACUGGAUAUUGUUAAAGUUU
rnacentral:misc_RNA from 1 species